GUGAGGAAUAUUGGUCAAUGGGCGAGAGCCUGAACCAGCCAAGUCGCGUGAAGGAAGACGGCCCUACGGGUUGUAAACUUCUUUUGCAAUGGAAUAAAAAGAGUUACGUGUAAUUCAUUGUAUGUACAUUGCGAAUAAGGAUCGGCUAACUCCGUGCCAGCAGCCGCGGUAAUACGGAGGAUCCGAGCGUUAUCCGGAUUUAUUGGGUUUAAAGGGUGCGUAGGCGGAUUGGAAAGUCAGCGGUGAAAGUUUGCAGCUUAACAGUAAAAUUGCCAUUGAAACUGUCAGUCUUGAGUGCAAAUGAGGUAGGCGGAAUGUGUUGUGUAGCGGUGAAAUGCAUAGAUAUAACACAGAACACCAAUUGCGAAGGCAGCUUACUGGGAUGCAACUGACGCUGAGGCACGAAAGCGUGGGGAUCAAACAGGAUUAGAAACCCUGGUAGUCC
rnacentral:rRNA from 1 species